GCCGCCGUGGCGGAACUGGCAGACGCGCUGGAUUCAAGAUCCGGUGUCCUCACGGGCGUGUGGGUUCGAUUCCCGCAGGCGGCA
rnacentral:tRNA from 1 species